rnacentral:rRNA from 1 species
AAACUCCGAGCUUGCUCGGAGGAGUAAAGUGGCGCACGGGUGAGUAACACGUGGGUAACCUGCCCUUGAAUCUGGGAUAACUUCGCGAAAGCGUUGCUAAUACCUGAUAUUGUUAUUUUAACUUCGGUUUUAAUAAUGAAAGAUGACCUCUUCAUGAAAGUUGUCGUUCAAGGAGGGGCUCGCGUACCAUUAGCUUGUUGGUGGGGUAAUGGCCUACCAAGGCUGCGAUGGUUAGCUGGUCUGAGAGGAUGAUCAGCCACACUGGAACUGAAACACGGUCCAGACUCCUACGGGAGGCAGCAGUGAGGAAUUUUGCGCAAUGGGGGAAACCCUGACGCAGCAACGCCGCGUGAGUGAAGAAGGCUUUCGGGUCGUAAAGCUCUGUCAGAUGGAAAAAAAUUUUUGUGGUAAAUAGCCACUAAAUCUGAUGGUACCAUCAGAGGAAGCACCGGCUAACUCCGUGCCAGCAGCCGCGGUAAUACGGAGGGUGCAAGCGUUGUUCGGAAUUAUUGGGCGUAAAGGGCGUGUAGGCGGGAUGGUUAGUCAGAUGUGAAAGCCCUGGGCUUAACCCAGGAAGUGCAUUUGAUACUGCCAUUCUUGAGUAUGGGAGAGGAGAGUGGAAUUCCCAGUGUAGAGGUGAAAUUCGUAGAUAUUGGGAGGAACACCCGUGGCGAAGGCGACUCUCUGGACCAAUACUGACGCUGAGACGCGAAAGCGUGGGGAGCAAACAGGAUUAGAUACCCUGGUAGUCCACGCCGUAAACGAUGAGAACUAGGUGUAGCGGGUAUUGACCCCUGCUGUGCCGAAGUUAACGCAUUAAGUUCUCCGCCUGGGGAGUACGGCCGCAAGGCUAAAACUCAAAGGAAUUGACGGGGACCCGCACAAGCGGUGGAGCAUGUGGUUUAAUUCGACGCAACGCGAAGAACCUUACCUGGAUUUACAUCCUCUGUUACCCAUGGAAACAUGGUUUUUUAUGCUUGCAUAAACAGAGUGACAGGUGCUGCAUGGCUGUCGUCAGCUCGUGUCGUGAGAUGUUGGGUUAAGUCCCGCAACGAGCGCAACCCUUGUUUUUAGUUGCCAUUAUUAAGUUGGGCACCCUAGAAAUACUGCCUCGGUUAACGGGGAGGAAGGUGGGGAUGACGUCAAGUCCUCAUGGCCUUUAUAUCCAGGGCUACACACGUGCUACAAUGGGCUGUACAAAGAGUUGCCACUUCGCGAGAAGGAGCUAAUCUCAAAAAGCAGUUCUCAGUUCGGAUUGGAGUCUGCAACUCGACUCCAUGAAGUUGGAAUCGCUAGUAAUCGUGGAUCAGCAUGCCACGGUGAAUACGUUCCCGGGUCUUGUACACAC